AUUGAACGCUGGCGGCAGGCCUAACACAUGCAAGUCGAACGAGUGGCGGACGGGUGCGUAAUGCCUGGGAAACUGGCUGAUGGAGGGGGAUAACGACGGGAAACUGUAGCUAAUACCGCAUACCAUCGGAUGUGCCCAGGUGGGAUUAGGUAGUUGGUGGGGUAAUGGCUAACCAAGGCGACGAUCCCUAGCUGGUCUGAGAGGAUGACCAGCCACACGGGAACUGAGACACGGUCCGGACUCCUACGGGAGGCAGCAGUGGGGAAUAUUGCACAAUGGGGGCAAGCCUGAUGCAGCCAUGCCGCGUGUAUGAAGAAGGCCUUCGGGUUGUAAAGUACUUUCAGAGAGGAGGCGUUAAUCACAGAAGAAGCACCGGCUAACUCCGUGCCAGCAGCCGCGGUAAUAC
rnacentral:rRNA from 1 species